GUUGCAUUGCAUUUAUGAUGUUGAUGUGGAUUGGUUAUUGGAUGAUCCUUUAGUCCUCAUAUGGUAUGAUGAUGUUAUGGCAUGAUAUGGUAUGGAAGUCCAGGUUGUACCCAUUCUACGUCCCUGGCACGAUGUAAGAGAAAGUCCAGGUUGUACCCAUUCUACGUCCCUGGCACAUUGGUAUAUUAUGAUAUGUUAUGUUAAGGGAAAGACCGGUUGUACCCAUUCUACGUCCCGGCACAGUUGGACUAUGUAAAGGACUAUAGGUGACAAUACCAUCCGAGAUGUGAUUUGUUGUGAUGUGUUGCAUUUCAUGAAAGCAUGAAAUUUUAUUAUAUGAUUUCACUAUUCUGCUCACUGGGCUUUGUAGCUCACCCCUCUCCCCUAACCCCAGAUGUGCAG
rnacentral:lncRNA from 1 species